GCAGUAACAGCAUGCCCAGCCGCACACACAGCUCAGUUCAGAGGACUCGAUCGCUACCCGUCCACACCAACCCACACACCAUGGCCAUGUUCCAGCAAACAGAUUUACAGGUGCCUGUGACUGAGCCUGACAUCAAUAACCGUUUGGAGUCUCUGUGUCUCAGCAUGACUGAACACGCUCUGGGAGAUGGCGUUGAUCGAACUUCAACCAUCUGAGAGAAGAAAAGAGGGAGCACAGGGAAGACGGCAUGCCUGGCAGCAGGGUGAAAGGUCAUCACGAGGUCACGAGACCCUCCCCCCUCCACCUUCUCACCUACCAAUGCCAAAUAGCCAAUAGGAGAGAUGGGGCGUGGUCUACACAGUGCCAUUCACCAUUUUCUGAAAGGCUUAACACAAGCAAGUUCUGUCACCAUGACUACUUCAGCGUGUUUACAUUCGAGUUUGGGAGAAAAUCAUAUCUUCAACACUUCCACUUCCACGUGUCGACAGGCCAUUAGAGGGUGUCCGUAAUGCACGGAGACAACUCAAAGUGUUCAGGUGGUUGUCUGGGACGUCACGAAAUCCAAACCAGCCUGCAGACGAAACCAGAUCAAGACGUAGUUGCAGAUUCGAUUUCUGUGCCUCUGUGCAGAUGCAAAAAAUAUUACGUUAUAGCAUGUUUACACGUAAUACUGUCAACAAAAUCCGAAGUCAUUUUUUUCAGGUGCGAGGGUUCCGUGGACGGUGUAGAGCUUUAGGUUCCUGAAUGGCUUCGUAGUUUACAAUUGUGUUUGUAUUUACUGGUUUGUUGUUCUAGUUUUCACUUGUGCCAGUAGGAAAGCUGAUUUACAACACUACAAUGAUGCUAAAUUCAGAGCUAUGGAUGGUACUCAGAAGAAAGAGAGGGAACGUGAGAGCAGCGAUGGGAAAGGAAACAGGAAGUGAUGUCAGUGGAAGGAAUGUCGUACAUGGAUUCCGACGUAAGGAACAGUGGAGGGAGAUCAGGAGGUCAGAGAAGUGGAAUACAGGAGAAAUGCCAGCGAAUGCAUGUAGAUGGAAAGGUUGAAGAGGAGCAGGUGAACAUGGAGGUCAGAGUGAAUUUGCAAUAACGUGCAAUAGACUCUUCAUAAGCAACACGGUGUGAAUCAUAUGGCUGAGGGGGAACUGGGGGUCCUGGAAAGAGGAACUGGACUAACAAACUCUGCCCUCUCCUCCAAAUCUCCAGUAAUUCCCGUAUUCGCCGGCCUACAACUUGACGCACCUACCCACACCUCAAGUGUUUUAUGCUUUUUGGCUCAUCCAAAGAAACCAGUCAUGAUUAAACGGACAGUAAAGAGGCACUUUCGCAUCUGUUGAGUGGCGACCGACGCGGUGCAAGCUGCCUAAAAGAAAAAAUGUUGACUAUGCAGUGUGUCGGAUUCAUAAGCGACUUGGUGCCUCCAAACUAGUGCUUUUAAAGUGCAUGAAAUGCCUUAAACGGAAUGGUAGCUGGUGUUUUACAAGCAUGUUAGCAAACCAUCAUGUGGCAUCUUGCGCAUCUUAGAGGUGCAUUUAUUUGUGUGUAUUAAGCCACUCAUCACUGCCAUUUGAAAACAAUUAGCAGAUUCAAAUGAUUAUUUAUUCUUUUCUAUUAUUGAUGCAGAGGUAAUUGUAUUCAUUAGAUGUAUUAUUUAAGAUACCUUGUGUAUUAACUUUUUGCUAUGGCUGGUAACCAUAAGUACAUCUCAAAUAACAACUUGUUUUUUUUUGUUUGUUUUUUUGACGUUUUGUUUUUCCAAUUUGCAUUCUUUGUUAUGAAAAAAAAAACAUACCUGAUAGUCAAAAGACAUCAGUUUUUUGUUGUUUUAAUAUUGCUGUUUCCUUUCUUUCUUGUAUCUAUAAAUGCUUAUAUUUUGCUAACUCUGCCCGGAAUGUGUAUUUUAAAUUUUAAGGAAAAGUUUUUUUUUUUGUUUUUUUUUUUUAUUGUCACACAAUGUAAACACAGAGCCAGUUUCUCUCUCUCUCUCUCUUUUUUUUUUUUUUUGUUUUUUUUUUUUUAGAUUUCGCUGUUAUUCUGUUUUUCACCUCAGCUGUUAUGGUGUUUAAUGCCAAAUACUUAAAGGAACACUCCACUAUUUUUGAAAAUAGACUAAUUUUCCAACUCCCCUAGAGUUAAACACUUGAAUUUUACCGUUUUCGAAUCCAUUCAGCGAUCUCCAGGUCUGGCGGUAGCACUUUUAGCUUAGCUUAGCAUAAACCAUUGAAUCAGAUUAGACCGUUAGCUAAAAGUGUUACCGCCAGACCUGGAGAUCGGCUAUAUGGAUUCGAAAACGGUAAAACUCUACAGGAGUUGGAAAAUGAGCCUAUUUUCAAAAUAGUGGACUGUUAAAAAAUAGCGUAGUUCUUUACGAAGAAUGCUGCUCGCUUGUGAAUGGAUAACGAAGAAUGAUGUGUAUUCAGCUCUGGUUUGUUAAUGUUUUUCAGAUUCGUUCCCUCAUGGCGAACAAGCUUUAGUUUUUUUUUUUUUUUUUUCAAAUGCGCUUGACUGCAAACAUGCAGCAAAAUUACAAUGCUGUAACAGUGUUAACAUUUAAAUGCUGCCUUAGUAUUCCGAAAAAGAAAAAUAAAACUAGCGUUUUAGUGUUGAGGAUACCUUUUUUUGUUGCAUUGUUUUGUAAAAGGUUUUGCGCGUUAGCAUAUCAGAACUCUGAUGCUGAUCGAUUUUAUUUUAUUUUUAUUUGAUUUGUUUUUACCCCUCUAUUCUGAAGGGUCUUGCUUUACUACGCUCUUUGAUUUUUGUUUUGUUUUUUAUUUUAUUUUCAAGAGCCGAUGUCCUGUAUUGACUGCAGGCUGACGUACAUAUACAUAUAUAAAAUAUAUAUUUUAAAAGAAUCUUAUGUUUAUGAAACGAUAAAACCAAAUAAAAACUGCGAAAAAAUAAAACAAAACAGAAAAAAAAAAAGGUAAUUUAUAUUUUAGAGAUGCAUGCAAGAGGCUGGGAAGUCAUAUCUUGAAUAACAAAUGGCAGUGCCUUUUUUUUUUUUUUUUUUUUUAUUCAGACAUUUACCCUAAAUGUAAAUGAUUUUAUAUGGCUCUAAAAUAUAGAGAAAAGUAAGACGCAUUGAUGGUCGAAACUUCAAAUCAUACAAAGUCCAUACGAGCUGAUUCUGAUGCAUUUGCUCGGAAGGAGCGUGCUGGUAGUUCAUGGGAAUCUGUAUGCUUUAGGUACUUCAGUGCUGUUAUGAAGUUAUGAUUAUAUCUGUCUGUACAACACAGAGAUGUGGAUAUAUUUUUUGUUUGUGUGUGAGCAAGAAACCGUAUCGUCUUGUAAUUUUUGUACAUAUACUUUCUUAGUUGCAUCAUAACAUGAAUGGUUUCGUCGGAGGCUGUUUUUCCACUCCCUGUUACCUGUGAGGCGUCACAACUCGUGUUACGUCUCUGCUCAUCUUAGCACAGGUUUCAAACAUCUUUAAUGAAAUAAACACAACUUUAGUCAGUAAAGAGAGGGAUUCUGUAAUCUCUUUCCCUCUGUUUCGUGGCCUUGUGAGUGUGUUUUUGUACGUUAAUGGGAGAUUAUAGUACUGUUUGUGUGUUUGUGAUGUUCUGUCCACCAACUGAAUGUGUUUUUGUCUGUUUCAUUGGGUCUGUGUUAAAUGCUUGACAUCUUUGUAAUAACCACAGACAAAAAGUAUUAAAGAGUAACUUUUGAAAAGGAUGCUAUGUGUUUCUCUCUUUUCAAAGCAGCUGUUGAAUGGUAUUGAGGAAGCUUUUCUCUAUUUUAUUUAGAGUAACUAACCACAUGAGUCUGUGAGGAAUUUACUGCCUCCUCUCGGUUUCAACCAAUCAGAGAGCUCGAGACAGAUUUUUACUGCCAAGAGGCGGGGCUUUCUGUAAAGAAAAAAUGCAGAGUCACUCUGGACUCACUGUUUUAUGAACUCAUUUAUGAUGAGCCAAUCACAGUGUCACACAGAUGGGCAGUGUUGUUCAUGGAAAAUCUGGGAAAGAAUUAGGAAGUGAUUUUAUGUGAUCAUUAAAAAGUAGGAUUUAACCAUGAAAAUAUGUUGGUACAAAAAACUAAUCAGGAUUGUGCUGCCUGACUAAACUACUUUCAUGGUUGAAGAAAACAUCACGCUUAAAAGAAAAGAUUGAGGUAGAAUACUGAACUCUAAAGGAAAGAAGCCAUUUUCCACAUUUAUUUAUUAUGCAGUAAUUUCACAAUAUGUACAUUUUUAAAUUGUUAAACAAACAUUUUAACUAGUGCCUUAUAAUAAAGAGAAUGAGAUUUCUUUAACAUUACAAUAAUGUGAGUUUGUGAUGGUAAUGUCCUUCAACUGUCUUGUUUUUCUUGUGAAUUUAGGGUAAAAUAUGACAUUUGUGUGAUCCACCCUUCAAUGUUUCUUGUCUUUUGCUUACCAACUCCCCUCAACAAAAAACAUUUAAAAAACUUUCAAAAUAACUAAAAAGAACAGUCUAUAUAUUUUACACAAGCUUUUUUAUUUUAAGCUGAAAAUGAUGAUGAACAUCAACAGUAAAGUAUUUGAAAGGCUCUUUGAGUCUUUUGUUUAAAGAAGGCCACAUGAAUAACACUCAGUUCUCAAUAUCAAGGCUCAUUUUCUGAAUGAAUCCACUGAUAUGAUAUGAUUGUGACACUGAACAGCUCAGAUACUGUCUGGCUCAGAGUUUCAUCUGAACUCAUGAAUACAGAACAUCACUCAAACAAUGUUUC